GGAGUGGUACUCAAGUGGCUGAAGAGGACGGUUUGCUAAAUCGUUAGUGGGGCAACCCAGCGGAGGUUCAAAUCCUCUCCACUCCGCCA
rnacentral:tRNA from 1 species